AUUACGGAUCAGGAGCUUGACAACAUGAUCAUUGAUGCUGUCGGUCAAAAUGAUCUAAUUGGACCUGAAUCUGUGAGGGCUCAGUUAAGCUCAGCAGGUGUGCUUGUACAGAGAAGGAGGGUGAGGGCGAGUAUGCUUCGAACCAAUCCAGAUGCAGCUGUUUUGAGAGCUACAUCACAAAGACUACAACGCAGAACAUAUCGCGUAACUGGCCCAAACUCUCUCUGGCACCUAGACGGUUAUCACAAGCUCAUAAGGUGGCGGAUUGUGAUUCAUGGAUCGAUUGAUGGCUACAGUCGGCUUGUGGUUUUCCUUGUCGCAUCCAACAACAAUCGGAGCAGAACAGUCCUGCAACAUUUCAACACAGCAGUCACUCAGUAUGGUUUGCCAUCAAAAGUGCGUUGUGAUUACGGUGGAGAGAACAUUGAUGUGUGUCUCUUCAUGAAUGUCGUUCGUGGAAUGGGCAACAGGAGUGUUCUCAGAGGUCAGAGUACACACAAUCAAAGGAUAGAGAGGUUUUGGGGCGAUCUUUGGUCUGGCAUGAUCAAUGUGUACCAUAGCCUCUUUACAUUCCUGGAGUCGGAGGGGAUCAUUGAUCUUGCCAAUGAACUGCACAUGUGGGCUUUGCACUAUGUGUAUCUCCCAAGAAUAAACAGGGAUCUCAGAGUUUUCCGCCGUCGCUGGAAUAAUCAUGGCCUGCGCACUGAGGGAUUUAGCACUCCAGUACAGCUGUUUGUCCGAGCAUGCCUGCGGUUGCAGAACAGGCCCUUGAGAGCCAUUCAGGAUGUAUUUGAAGGACCUGUCAAUGCUCCAGAACUUCAGGGUGAUGUUCUAGCACAGGAGCCCGAUCCAGCAAUAGCACAAGAAAGGGACACACCUGAGUACCAUAAUGCCGAACCUCUAUGGAGAGAGGACAUCAAUGUCCCUGAAAGUCUGUUCAAUCUAAAUGAAGAUAUAAUAUCCUGCAAUAAUAACGAUCGAAUUACGCGCGAAAUGCGUUGCGUAAGUCUGGGAAAUCCCGCCACGGCAAACAGGAUGAUGGGAAAACGUGGUCUGCGUAGAGCACAUGACUACCAACAUACAUAGUGGAGGAAGAUCAGCGCUCAGCCUGUUAUACAAGAGAAAGAACAUGUCAGAUCAGAGGUACAGAUCACGUCUCAUAAGUUUAAGAUCACAAAUAAAUGCUAACUUUGACAGGUUAAUAGGACAGGCAAGUCUGGCAAACGAGGACCAAGAGGGCAGUCUCAUUGAAAGGUAAUUUAUUGAGGCUACUGUAAAACAACGUAGAGUCAUAAGAAUACUUGCGAGAGAUACUUUAUCUUAUGUAUAACCCAACCGUAAAUCAUGUAAAUUGUGAUUGAACAUGUUACGCAUAACCGAAGGGUCGAUGUAUUAACGUUAGCGAUAUUCUAAAACCACAUUCCCAAUUUGGUGUAACGUUUUUACUUGUAGGUUGCGAGAGUUCAGAAAUUAGACAAAUCCAAGGCCUCCGAGGAGAAGGAGGAGGGCCAACCCCGCGCGGACGAUAAGGGUACGCUUGGGAUUCAUAGAACAGAGGACAAAUCGACCAGUUACUCGAGAGAGCCAGGGUAUUGUAAAUCUGCAUGUGCCUUUGGACCAGACAGAGGAGGAGUUUGUCAGUGAAAUAAGGCGUGUUUUCCCAAGGCUUGGUAAUAGAACAUUAGAGCUCUGUCGGAUGGAUGCCCAUCAUAACAUCAUUGUCGUGAAUUUGCCUGGCAUCACACCACGUGACAUAAAAGAGUGUCUUGAAUUGAAUAGGUCUGCGGUUUAUGUCAGAAUCAAGGUAACUCAUUUUGUAUAGAACCAGAAUUAUCUAUUGCUACCUUUUUUGAUGUAUUGAUCUAGUCCAUAUGAAUGGACCAUUUUUGAAACAUUGAUGGAUUUGGACAUUAUUACGCAGGUUUACUAAACUGUCGUUUAUACACACAGGGCGAGGAUCAACCUCAUGUUACUGUGCACAACCAGGCACCCUCGCCUGUAACCCCAAAUCCCCCUCCCUUUACCAGGCCAAGACUGUCAGACUCUCUGCUACCUGACAACAGCCAUGUGCCCGCCAUUGAAGAAAGUCAUGUGUCCCUAUCACCCUUAAGGAUACCCUUAAGCUCUGCACAGCAAAUUAGAAAUAGCUCAAGCAGAUUGUCUAGUCAGGUGCAUAAUGAUGUCAGUUGUGAGAAUUCAGACUGUGUGUUUGUGGAGGUAAGUUGCACUUUGGAUGAAUUGUCACUAUUUGUAAUCACAAAUGUUGCAAUAAUGAUUGCAAAGGAGGCAAUGAUGAUUAGCCUCCAAGUCACAAGGGAGGCUGGAUGAGGUUAAAACCUUUUAAUUUAACAGUUUACUCAUUUUCUGUUCAGAACUCUAUUUUUAAUGAAAUGUGUAUGCCUUUGUGAUUUUAUGUAUUUUCCCUCAAUUGAGGAAACACAACUGGCAGAGGCCAGGGGGCAAAAUCCAGAGAUGCCAUCUUUUGAACAGAUAGUGGAAACUAUAGAACAGACACGAACACUAAGGAGAAGCCAGGACAUAGAAUACCUGGAGGCCCUCAACAGA